AUUGAACGCUGGCGGCAUGCCUUACACAUGCAAGUCGAACGGUAACAGGUCUUCGGCUGCUGCCGAGUGGCGAACGGGUGAGUAAUACAUCGGAACGUGCCCAGACGUGGGGGAUAACGAGGCGAAAGCUUUGCUAAUACCGCAUACGAUCUAAGGAUGAAAGCAGGGGACCGCAAGGCCUUGCGCGUUUGGAGCGGCCGAUGGCAGAUUAGGUAGUUGGUGGGAUAAAAGCUUACCAAGCCGACGAUCUGUAGCUGGUCUGAGAGGACGACCAGCCACACUGGGACUGAGACACGGCCCAGACUCCUACGGGAGGCAGCAGUGGGGAAUGUUGGACAAUGGGCGAAAGCCUGAUCCAGCAAUGCCGCGUGCAGGAUGAAGGCCUUCGGGUUGUAAACUGCUUUUGUACGGAACGAAAAGGCUCUGGCUAAUACCUGGGGCACAUGACGGUACCGUAAGAAUAAGCACCGGCUAACUACGUG
rnacentral:rRNA from 1 species